UUUGGAUUUAGGUGGCGAGUAGAAAAAGAAGUAAUUUCAGGAAAAGGUCAAUUUUUCUGUGGAAAUAAAUAUUGUGAUAAAAAAGAAGGCUUAAAGAGUUGGGAAGUUAAUUUUGGUUAUAUUGAGCAUGGUGAGAAGAGAAAUGCACUUGUUAAAUUAAGGUUAUGCCAAGAAUGUUCCAUUAAAUUAAAUUUCCAUCACAGGAGAAAAGAAAUCAAGUCAAAAAAAAGAAAAGAUAAAACCAAAAAAGACUGUGAAGAGUCAUCACAUAAAAAAUCCAGAUUAUCUUCUGCAGAAGAGGCCUCCAAGAAAAAAGAUAAAGGACAUUCAUCUUCAAAGAAAUCUGAAGAUUCUCUACUUAGAAACUCUGAUGAGGAAGAAAGUGCUUCAGAAUCUGAACUUUGGAAGGGUCCACUACCAGAGACAGAUGAAAAAUCACAGGAAGAAGAAUUUGAUGAGUAUUUUCAGGAUUUGUUUCUAUGAGACGAGAGAGAGAAGCCUCCGCUCCUUAAUGUGAAACUUCAUGAAGUUUUAAACUUCAUGCAAUUUGAAAUUCCAUAUAAGUUUUUAUCUGCAAGUUACAGCUUGUGUGGUUUGUCUUUGGAAAUAAAAAUCCAGGUUCUC
rnacentral:lncRNA from 1 species